rnacentral:lncRNA from 1 species
CUCCGCACCCCCGGAUUCCACCGAAUAUCCGUCUGACGGAUAUCGCUCCUCCUCUGAGCAACAAGGCAAGCAACCCUUUUGAUCAUCCCGAUAACUCCUAUGUUCUUGCUCCUGCACCUAUUUAUUGCAUUAGGAUCAAAUGCCUCAACUGCUUUUGCCACGAUAGUUGGACCCACUUCCUUUGCAUGACUUAACCUUGUCACAGUAAAUAGCCGAACCUUGCAACCUAGCAUACCUGGUAGUUGCUUGAGCUAUGAUGUGCCUUAUCCUGCUAUGCAUGCUAUGCUUAGAGUUGUGUAUGGUCUGUCAUCUGGGAGAUGAACAGAAAUGUGGAAUGUGUUCGGUGAGCAAAGGUUGUGUGUUGAACUUGAUUUGGUAAAGGUACCGGUGAAAGGCUGUGUAGGAGUACAUGGCGGGUUGUUUCAUUGGAACCGUCCUUAGGAACUGAGUUCCGUGUAUGUAAUCCAAGACUAGAUACUACCACAUGCUGGGCCCUGAAAUAUGACCCCGCUCGGCCUAUUAAUCGCGUAGUACUCGGUCCAGGAGAUGCAAGUAGUUUCUGGUGUUUAUAGUAAUGCUGGAGGCCGUGCAUGGUGCUGACCUGAGAGGUGGACCGUGAUGCGGUAGGCAGUGGCACGGUGUACCAAGUGGCACCCGGAUGGUGGGCUUGGGAACCCUGCGCACAUCGUUUGAGGCUGUGGCGGAAACCUCGGCCGGACUUCCGUACGGGUUACUCUCAGAUAGGCGAUAAACCUGGACUAGGUACUAGUGUGGUUAACGGUCGUGGCCGACUCCCUCGCUGGGCUUCCGCUUGAAGGUUGCCGAGGUGCAUGACGUGCACAUGGCGAUAAGUGGCGAAAGCGUGUGUGACGAAGUACACCCAUGUAGGGUUAUGAUCUAUUCGAAUAGCCGCGUCCGCGGAUAUGGACUACUUGGAGACAUAUGUUGUUCAUAGAUAACUUCAAUGGCUACUCAUAAAAUUUGUCAAGAUAAGCGUGAGUGUCGUGGACGGCAUUUCCGUAUGGAGACGGAAUGAUUCCACGAUAGUGUAUUGUUGUGGUGUUAGUGGACUCGUGUGCGAGAAAUCAAGUUGUCAAAACUAAUUUCAAAAUGCAAGUUGUCUAGCCCCGAGUCAAAUGCUGGCUUUCCGCCUGGAACCCCACAAUACCUUUUGAUACCUUGCAUGAGUAGUUAGUUCUCCUAAAGUCUUGCUGAGUACCUUCGUACUCAUGUUUGCUUAAUAAAUGUUGCAGAGGUUGCUAAUGACCCUAAUGGAGGGUUCUUCGUAGACAUCGACGACGACGAGUAGCUGGUGUCCCAGCUACGAUCUGGCCCUACGUCGGCUCUGUUGUAUAGUUAGGCCAUGUGCCUUCCAGUUGCCCUGUCUGUACCCAGACAGUUUAUAACUCUUCCGC